CAGGCACUUAAUCGUGACCCUAAAGCUACCACUCGAGAGAGGACACCGAGGUGCAGAGAUCGGUACCUCUCAAGCAACGAACCGAGCACAGCACACAAUGAGGCCUACAAGCGUGGCAGGCGCAGAGGAGGCAGCCGAUCCCCAGCAGCAAGGCCACGCCAGAAAGCUCACUGCAAGCCCUCAUUCCCCCCCCUCCCCCUGGACCGGUGUGGGUCAUCCUGGUCCACCCCCAAACGACUCCUGGACGAAGCAAUGGGCCAAUACAGGCUCCGUGGAGCCCAAAAGCUAC